GACGAACGCUUGCGGCGUGCUUAACACAUGCAAGUCGAACGGAAAGGCCCUGCUUUUGUGGGGUGCUCGAGUGGCGAACGGGUGAGUAACACGUGAGUAACCUGCCCUUGACUUUGGGAUAACUUCAGGAAACUGGGGCUAAUACCGGAUAGGAGCUCCUGCUGCAUGGUGGGGGUUGGAAAGUUUCGGCGGUUGGGGAUGGACUCGCGGCUUAUCAGCUUGUUGGUGGGGUAGUGGCUUACCAAGGCUUUGACGGGUAGCCGGCCUGAGAGGGUGACCGGCCACAUUGGGACUGAGAUACGGCCCAGACUCCUACGGGAGGCAGCAGUGGGGAAUAUUGCACAAUGGGCGGAAGCCUGAUGCAACAACGCCGCGUGCGGGAUGACGGCCUUCGGGUUGUAAACCGCUUUCGCCUGUGACGAAGCGUGAGUGACGGUAAUGGGUAAAGAAGCACCGGCUAACUACGUGCCAGCAGCCGCGGUGAUACGUAGGGUGCGAGCGUUGUCCGGAUUUAUUGGGCGUAAAGGGCUCGUAGGUGGUUGAUCGCGUCGGAAGUGUAAUCUUGGGGCUUAACCCUGAGCGUGCUUUCGAUACGGGUUGACUUGAGGAAGGUAGGGGAGAAUGGAAUUCCUGGUGGAGCGGUGGAAUGCGCAGAUAUCAGGAGGAACACCAGUGGCGAAGGCGGUUCUCUGGGCCUUUCCUGACGCUGAGGAGCGAAAGCGUGGGGAGCGAACAGGCUUAGAUACCCUGGUAGUCCACGCUGUAAACGGUGGGUACUAGGUGUGGGGUCCAUUCCACGGGUUCCGUGCCGUAGCUAACGCUUUAAGUACCCCGCCUGGGGAGUACGGCCGCAAGGCUAAAACUCAAAGGAAUUGACGGGGCCCCGCACAAGCGGCGGAGCAUGCGGAUUAAUUCGAUGCAACGCGUAGAACCUUACCUGGGUUUGACAUGGAUCGGGAGUGCUCAGAGAUGGGUGUGCCUCUUUUGGGGUCGGUUCACAGGUGGUGCAUGCCUGUCGUCAGCUCGUGUCGUGAGAUGUUGGGUUAAGUCCCGCAACGAGCGCAACCCUUGUUCACUGUUGCCAGCACGUUAUGGUGGGGACUCAGUGGAGACCGCCGGGGUCAACUCGGAGGAAGGUGGGGAUGACGUCAAGUCCUCAUGCCCCUUAUGUCCAGGGCUUCACGCAUGCUACAAUGGCUGGUACAGAGAGUGGCGAGCCUGUGAGGGUGAGCGAAUCUCGGAAAGCCGGUCUCAGUUCGGAUUGGGGUCUGCAACUCGACCUCAUGAAGUCGGAGUCGCUAGUAAUCGCAAAUCAGCAACGCUGCGGUGAAUACGUUCCCGGG
rnacentral:rRNA from 1 species